rnacentral:lncRNA from 1 species
GUUGCGCGAGAGGCGGAGUCCAGAGGGGAGCAACAGUUAUGAGGGCGGAACUUAGAAAUGAUGAAGGCGGAGCCAGGGUCUGUAGUAAUUGGGCUGAGGACCGGGUUUAGGAGCGCAAAAAGUGGAGUCCAGGAGUAGAGGAAAUAGAUUGAGGAAGGGGCUUGGAGCAUGAGAGGCAGAGUCCUAGUGUGGAGCAACAGGACAAGCGCGGAACUUAGGCAGGCAAGAGGCUGAGCCCAGGCCUGUGGCACCAAUCUGGGGGCAGACUGUGUUGCUGGUCCACUUUGAUUUCCAAAGACAGCAUUGCCUUUACUGAAGGCCAGCUACAUCAAAUGGCAUACCACAUGAUCAUGAUGAGUUGUCCUGUGAAGGAACCGAUCCAUCUGCAAUACAACCACUGUUUGGAAAAUUCAUCUUCUUAUUGAGCUUGGCUGUCUGCUACAUGCUCCCUGUGGAGUGGAACAUCCACAGACAUUUUAAAGGAACAGCUUUGUGUCCCACCAAAGCUCCUGGCACUACUGACUUUGGAUCUGUGGGCAGUAUUUGGAUCAAUAGCAGUAUUGUUGCCGAUUGAAAACUCAGGGAGACGCACACACAUGUACCCCAGGUGCUGAGGACUGAAAACAUGGACUCACACAUCAUACAUGUGUAAGCUCUCCCAUCUACCACUGAGCUUCAGGUUUGUCAGCCAUCUCUCCACAUACACAUUAAGCAUUUGAAAAUAAACACUGCUGAUAUUGGAUGAUAGCAAGGUUCAGAAGACCUUCCAGAGGAUUUCGAGGAUCUUCUGUCCUCAAGGAAUCGAUUACAGAUUUCUACUUGCAGAAAAGGCAAGAAUGGCUGAUUAGGAAAAAAGAUACUCCCAAGGGAGGAGUUGGGCUGGAGGAAAGAGAUAGAUGGAAAACCACCCUGCCAUAAAGGACCUGGGCUCUUCUGGCUCACAGCCACCCAUCAUGGCUUCUCUUAAUGGGGCCCUGGGUGCAACUUGGUUCCUUACACUUAGUAGCAAGUUCUUGGCCAACUGAGCCAUUACCCCAACUCUGUGUUGUCUUUUCUAUACAUCCUCAAGCUGCUACAGACAAAAGAGAAUUGAGACAUUGUCUCUCCCUAAAUCUGGUCCAAAGUAUGAAGAUACUGUUUCCUU